AAAGUCGUAACAAGGUUUCCGUAGGUGAACCUGCGGAAGGAUCAUUAUUGAAAUGUUUUGAAGGGGAUUGUUGCUGGCCUAUAACAAGGCAUGUGCACAUCUUCUUUCAAUCUAUUCAUCCACCUGUGCAUCUUUUUGUAGGAGCCCUAUAGGAUGGUUGAACCGGGGGUCUAUUACUUCUGUUGUAGGCCUUGUUUGACAGUCCUGGGGCUUCUAUGUCUUACAAACUCUAAUGAAUGUAUCUGAAUGUCCAUUUAUUGGGACUUAACUGGCCCUCUAAACUUAUACAACUUUCAGCAACGGAUCUCUUGGCUCUCGCAUCGAUGAAGAACGCAGCGAAAUGCGAUAAGUAAUGUGAAUUGCAGAAUUCAGUGAAUCAUCGAAUCUUUGAACGCACCUUGCGCCCCUUGGUAUUCCGAGGGGCAUGCCUGUUUGAGUGUCAUUAAAUUCUCAACCUCACAAGUUUGUAGCUUCUGAGGCUUGGAUUGUGGAGGCUUGCUGGCAUCUAAGAUGCAUUGGCUCCUCUUAAAAGCAUUAGUAGAAACCAAUUGUUGGACUAUCUUUGGUGUGAUAAUUAUCUACGCCUUGGUGUUCUAUCUGACGAAAGGGUCUCUUUGGUUUGGGAUAGUUGCAAACGAGAGUUUGCUCUGUCUGUUUUAACUGUCAAAGAGGCUUUGGGGUGUCUGCUCUCUAACUGUCUGUUUGACGGACAACUAAUUGAUUUGUUUGACCUCAAAUCAGGUAGGACUACCCGCUGGACUUAAGCAUAUCAAUAA
rnacentral:rRNA from 1 species